GACCCACCUCCUCUGCUCCAGUUCCUCCGCGCACCACCCUCCUCUGCCCCAGUUCCGCCGUGCACCACCCUCAUCGGCUCCAGUUCCGCGCCGGUCCGGACCACCUCUUCUCCAGUUCUACCGCGUCCAGUCUUCCGUCGUGCUCCCUCACCUCUGCUCUAGAAGUGACAGGAACUCUAAAGGGUUAUGAUCAGUUGCUUAACCUUGUCCUAGAUGAAGCUGUAGAGUUUCUAAGAGUUUGGUAGCAGCAAAGAAUAUGUGCAUCUGGUGAACUUUGUUGCCCUUAUUUUGAAUGAAGUAGUUAAGAGUAUGAUUUAUCAUUUGUCUUGUUGUCAAAAAGUUUCUUCAUUAAAUUUAUUAUUUCACCACACUAAGCUAGAUCAAUUUUCUUGUGUCACAAAUUUUAAGGAUUAAGAAAAGGGAUGUUUACUGAUUCAUGAGAGUGAGGGCUGAAUGAGUAACGAGCUAUUAACUGGCAUGCUUUAGCUUCAAUUAUGCUGAAGCUAUGAUCAAACUCUAUGAUGUAAAUAUCUCAAGACGGCCACUUUACCUGAGUGAGAGGUCCAUUUAAAAUAACCCUAACUAUGUGCAGAAUUAGCACAGAAUUUUUUGGUGCUGAAAGCUGAAUAAUAUAAACAUUUGGUUUAAAAAUAUUUGACAUUGUUCUCACUUUAAGUGGGGAUUACUUAUUUUCAUUGAAUCUGUCUUUUUACAUAUGCUUUCUUUCAGAUUUAUCAAGUCAAACAGCAAAAUUAAGAUUUCCAUACAAAUAUUGAGUUCACUGUAAUUAUGUUUAGUAUGCUUAUUUAUAUUUUA